UACGUAGGGGGCAAGCGUUGUUCGGAAUUACUGGGCGUAAAGGGCGCGUAGGCGGCACGGCAAGUCAGGCGUGAAAGCCCGGGGCUCAACCCCGGAAUGUCUUUUGAAACUGCCGAGCUAGAGUGCGGAAGAGGCAACUGGAAUUCCCAGUGUAGCGGUGAAAUGCGUAGAUAUUGGGAAGAACACCUGAGGCGAAGGCGGGUUGCUGGGCCGACACUGACGCUGAGGCGCGAAAGCCAGGGGAGCGAACGGG
rnacentral:rRNA from 1 species